UACGUAGGGUCCUAGCGUUGUCCGGAAUUAUUGGGCGUAAAGGGCUCGUAGGCGGCCAACUAAGUCGGAUGUGAAAUCCCCAGGCUCAACCUGGGAACUGCAUCCGAUACUGGAUGGCUUGAAUUCGGGAGAGGGAUGCAGAAUUCCAGGUGUAGCGGUGAAAUGCGUAGAUAUCUGGAGGAAUACCGGUGGCGAAGGCGGCAUCCUGGACCGACAUUGACGCUGAGGAGCGAAAGCCAGGGGAGCAAACAGG
rnacentral:rRNA from 1 species